CCCUCUCUAUAGGAAAAAAGGAAAAAGGAAUCUUGUCAAGGCAUCCAGCAAAGACAGAACAUUUAAAUCAUCUGUUCCAUGAACUCAUUAACAUGUGCGUGAGCAUCUGGAGUUGUAUGGCCUGUGUACUCUAAACUGAAAGUCCUACUCACACUGUAUCUGGAAAAUGAGUCAUCAAAAGGAAAAGUACUGCAAAAUGUACCCAGCUUCUUAAAGGUCAUGGAAAAAAAUCUUAAGUUAUCCUGAACACAAAAAAAUUGGCUGGAAGCUGAAAAAUGCAGGAUUUUUCUCUGUCAAUUUUUGUCUCCUUAAACACCAUAGAAUCCUAAAAUACCUCCAUCAGAUGCAUCUGAAACAGAAAAAACAGCAUUGUGCUGGCCUUGGUGGGCCACCCUAUUUCACAGAGAAGCGUGCAAUCUCUUGUGCCACAGUUGGGGAAAGGCACAAUUUUAGGAAAUGCAAACAACCUGGAAACCCACUGACCUGCAGAUAACCUAUUCAGGAACAAUGAAACAUGAAAAAAAAAGGAGAUUCUUUUGGAAAAGUAAAAGGGAAAAGAAGCUUUUUUGAAAAGUGUUUCCAUAUUUCAGGAACUAAGUCAAUGAAAUCUCAGAUGUUUCAGAUUUCUGCCUUAACAGGUCUGCUCUGGUUUGAAAGCCUUGGUUAGGUGAUUUUCCCAGAGUAAAUAAGUAACAAGGAAGUGAAAGCUCACAGUGUGGCCCUGAAGUGAGAAAACCCCCUCCACCUAGCUCAGCACAGCACACAGAGAAGUAGUGAGUUCUUUCACCUCAAGGGCACAGAGGCUCCGGAUCAAGAUUCUUUGCCCAUCCCCUAUAAAUAGUAGUAAUGAUACCACCAAGAAAACUAGUAUGCAGCUGGCAGACUUUCCAAGAUAAGACAUAUUCUUAAAGAAAGAAGAGAACAAUACCUAAUAUGUGCAGACCGCAUAGGCUCAGAUCUAGGCAAAAGAGGAGAAGGCAAUUCAACUAUGUGUGAAGUCCUGGCUGGAAGCCUCCCUCUGCUUCAGAGAAAUGCCAGUGGCCAGAUGACCAUUCAUCUGAAUUUCAUUCA